rnacentral:lncRNA from 1 species
GUUUUGCAUUUGAUGGUUUCCAGGAACUGCUAAGAGUGAGAUCAUCCCUGAAGCAGUGACUGCCAGAGGAAGGCGAGAGACAUAUGGUGGCCUUACAGGAGAAGAACAUGUCUCAGAGAGCUCCUACUCCUCCAGUUUUGGCCCCAGAAUGAAACACAGGAAGAAGACCUGAAUUUGAUUUGCAUUUCAAAGUAGAACUGUCCCAGCUGACAUGAAGACUGAUGAAUAAGGAAUAAGUAUUUAUUGUUGUAUGUCACUGAUAUUUCUGUGGUCGAUUAUGUGUAGAAGAGCUGACUUGUACACUUACAUAAACUUGAAGAAGACUGAAUUUAGAAAUGGAGUUUCUGCAUAUGGUUAUGUCUGAGUAGCUCCAAGUGGAUCAUCCCUCCCACAGAUAACAACUCUAAACUCUGGACAAAAUAUAAAAAUAACAAUUUCCUGAAUAUCAAAGAGCAACCCAAAUCAUGCAGAUACUGGCCAUGUGAAGUGCCUCACUCCCUGUUCACCUUCCACCAUGAUUUUAAGUUCUGUGAGGCCUCCCUAGAAGCUGAUGCCACCAUGUUUCCUGUACAACCUGCAGAAUGGUUUCAUAUUUCUUCCUCAGUUAAUUUUGUUAAUGGAAUUGUCUAUUUCCUCUAAGUUUCAAAGUGCACUGACAUCAGGU